UUGAGGUCAGGAGUUUGAGAUCAACCUGGGCAACAUAGGGAGGCACCAUCUCUACCAAAAAUACAAAAAAUUAGCUGGGUGUGGUGGUGCGUGCCUGUGGUCCCUGCUACUCAGGAGGCUCAGUGAGAGGAUAGCUGGAGCCCAGGAGGUGGAGGUUGCAGUGAGCCGAGAUCACACCACUGCCCUACAGCCUGGGUGACAGAGUGAGACCCUGUCUCAAAAAAAACCCAACCAACCAACCAAACAAACAAAAAAGCCAUUUGAAGCUCACAGCCCUAUGAAGCACACAAAAUAGUACUUUCUGUUAUGGCUGAGAAAACUCAGCUGGUGAGGUUUUCAGGGACCACCCAAGGUCAUCCAGCACGUUAUCCCACAAAAUACUGAGCAAAUGCUUGAUGCCCCUCUCUGGAAUCACAUCAUCCUCAAGCAGGAGCAUGUAGUAUCCACUUUGUAAGAGAAAUCUGUCCCCCGUCGAAGCAAAAUCUGGACUUUCAGAGGUUGGUCCUAGAGAAAGAACUUCUGCUGGAGCCAUCCUGGGAAUCUGAUCUCUGCCUUCAAAACCAGAUUCACCUUCCCUUAGGAGAUCUCUCUCUUUCUGACUCCUGCUGCUACCACCUCAUUGGUCCCAGUGUUUACUCAAGGGAAGGAAGAUCAGAGGGGAAACAAACGCCAAGGGGUUGGGAAUGGGUCGGCAUCUGGAGUCUGAGACAGCUGCCCUCCUGCGUCAAGGGCUGGGGGCCUCAGCUUCCAUCCUGUGCCAGCCUCCAUGUGGACAGCUCAGCUUAUUGUCCACCACCUGGAAAUUCCUCGAAGCUUCAUGGUCCAGGUCAAGAGAAUCCUGUUCCCAGACCUCUGCCCAGCCAGGCCUUCCCAGCUCAGGGCUGACUCCUGCACCAAGUGACGCACUUUUCAUAACUGGUCUACCAAUGCCUCCCCUUCAAGUGAGAACUACCCUUUACAUUUAGGAGUGUGGCCCCGCAGUAAAAACACACUAAAUUUGUCUUAAUUCAAUAAUUAAUGUAUAUUCAUUGUAGAAAAUACAAAUUAGCAUAAAUAAUAAACAUUAUCCAAUCUUAUUACUCAGAGAAAACCCUUAUUAAUAUUUUGUUAUAUCCUUGUGGAUAUUUUCUGUGCAUG
rnacentral:lncRNA from 1 species